AGAACAGAGUGGGGAAGUUUUUCACUUUGUAGAGGACGAGAAUCAAAAAGUGAAGGCAGGGUGGCUGCCGUGGCUUUCCCUCUUCCCGGGGCCAAGCCGUUUGGGCUCCCUGCAAACCCCGUUCCCCUCCGCUCCCGAGUCCAGCUCGAAACUGCAACAGGAUACCACAAAUUUGCUGUUUAUUAUAUCGAGCGGUUGGCAUUCAGCAAUCUCAGCUUAAAAGGAAACACAUGACUUUGCAGCAUGGAAGAGCACUUAAUGCUCGCCGAGGCUUUCGCGCAAAAACUUUUGACCACAAUUAACAGAGAAAACUUCGGGAAAGCAGUAAAAUGGCUUUUAGCCUGCAACUGGUGCCCUGCAAGUAGGUGAAGCUCCAGCGAGGCAGCUGAAGGCCAUCUAAGAAGACUUUUCAGGAGUGGCUUCCUCGAGUAAUUCUCCUGGCAAAUUACCUGCGAAUUGUUUGGGUGGUUUCUAAGAGAAUCUCUGAGAAUAACAACAACAAAAAAAACCCGGGUGUGAAGGGGUUUUUCUCCCUCCGUGUCAUCACAGCAAUAGGUAGAGUUGUAAAAGAACACGGAUGUCAAUGAGUAGCAAAGACAGAGAGGGAUUUCAGACGGGUAAACCUAUAAAGAGCAGAAACAGCGAGGACGUGCCGUUGUACGUUCAUUCAUUCCCAGGUGAAGGUUAUAUAAAAACAGAGACAGGCAAUGCGGAGCUGCAAAACCUCCCCUGCCACCCCAGCAGUGGCUGCAGGACCGCUGGGGAUUUUUGUCAGCUUUUUGUACAUUUCCAGGUACAAUUAGUCAGCAGAAAUGCCCGUCUAGAUCCCAGCAGAGAGAGGCACAAGCGGAGCAACUGAUAACCCGAGCUCAUUGCCCUCCUGCAGCUUCUGCCUCCCCAGCAGCGAUAUGCUGCUCCAAAGGCUUUUUCUUUCAUUCCCCCUUCUCUCUCUUCAGGAAGAAAAAGUCCCCUAUGUGUAGCUAGGCUGAAAUCAGGCCAGCUCCUAUUCCAACCCCAAAUUAUUUUCUCUCUGCUACCAGUCUCCUCCAGAAAGUAUUAAGCUACUGAACCAUGAAGGGACCCUCUCUCACCCCUGCACAGACUGAGCAGGGCCAGGUCGUGGCUGAGCCUUUCCCUGCAGAGUAGUGCCUGCAAUCGGCUCGGAUCUUCACAUGCCUAAAACUUCCUACAAUUCCAGGGGAAAGGAACUUUAUGGAGAAAAUCACUGGAGAAAAGAGCCUUGCUCUGGAGCAGCCUGGUGGGGUGCAGAGCCUCGGGAGGUGGGGAGGGAAGGGGAGUGUGUGCAGGGAAGAGGCACGAACCCCCGACCCAGACCUACCUUCCCGAUUUGGUAAUCACCAUCUCCGUGCCUCUUUUAUGGAAUUGCUCCCAAAGCUCUUUGGCUUCCAGAUGCACUUUCGGGUCAUCUUCCACCUCUUCUUCUGGCUCCAGAGUUUUUAAAGGCCUCAAAUGGGCUGCUGCCUGGUGGCCCAGGGAAGAAAAGGGGAUACCAGUCUCUGCAGCCCCUACUAACUGAUCCAUGAUGGGUUUAGCCAGAGCCCCGGGAAGGGAAAGGGCUGCUGCCCCAUUGGGAGGCAAAGCCAGAGCCGGGAAAAAGGGAGGCUGAUGUCCCAACACAGCGCUCAUGGCAAAGUCCGGUGCCCGGUGAGGUAAAAAAGGAUGAUAAGCCAUGCUUGUCCCAGGGAUUACUGGAUCUCUCAUCGGGAUAUUCAUCCACUCCACUCCUCGGUCUUCCUACUGCUGGAGUAGUCCCGGAGUGGUUUCUAACAGCACAUCAUGAAGAAGAAAAAUUAAGAUAAUAACAAUAACAUCAAUAAAGCACCACAAAAAAAAAUAGGGUGGGGGAAAACAAGCUCUAGACAGCACAGUACAUGGAGGGGGAGAGGCAGAACUUCUACAGCCUACAACUUCCCGAGCCGGGGCACAUCCCCAGCCCUCGGGACAGCGGAUUAACAGGAUUGUUCAUUAUUAGUCUUG